AUUGAACGCUGGCGGCAGGCCUAACACAUGCAAGUCGAACGAGUGGCGGACGGGUGAGUAAUGUCUGGGAAACUGCCCGAUGGAGGGGGAUAACUACUGGAAACGGUAGCUAAUACCGCAUACCAUCGGAUGUGCACAGAUGGGAUUAGCUAGUAGGUGGGGUAACGGCUCACCUAGGCGACUAUCCAUAGCUGGUCUUAUAGGAUGACCAGCCACAUUGGAACUGAGACACGGUCCAGACUCCUACGGGCGGCAGCAGUGGGGAAUAUUGCACAAUGUGCGCAAGCCUUAUGCAGCCAUGCCGCGUGUAUGAAGAAGUCCUUCGGGUUGUAAAGUACUUUCAGCGAUGAGGCGUUACUCGCAGAAGAAGCACCGGCUAACUCCGUGCCAGCAGCCGCGGUAAUUC
rnacentral:rRNA from 1 species